rnacentral:rRNA from 1 species
AGUGAACGCUGGCGGUAGGCCUAACACAUGCAAGUCGAACGGCAGCACAGUAAGAGCUUGCUCUUACGGGUGGCGAGUGGCGGACGGGUGAGGAAUACAUCGGAAUCUACUUUUUCGUGGGGGAUAACGUAGGGAAACUUACGCUAAUACCGCAUACGACCUACGGGUGAAAGCAGGGGAUCUUCGGACCUUGCGCGAUUGAAUGAGCCGAUGUCGGAUUAGCUAGUUGGCGGGGUAAAGGCCCACCAAGGCGACGAUCCGUAGCUGGUCUGAGAGGAUGAUCAGCCACACUGGAGCUGAGACACGGUCCAGACUCCUACGGGAGGCAGCAGUGGGGAAUAGUGGGCAAUGGGCGCAAGCCUGAUCCAGCCAUACCGCGUGGGUGAAGAAGGCCUUCGGGUUGUAAAGCCCUUUUGUUGGGAAAGAAAAGCAGCAGGUUAAUACCCCGCUGUUCUGACGGUACCCAAAGAAUAAGCACCGGCUAACUUCGUG